UGCGCGCAUGGAUAACACGCAUGCGCGCACCACCUUGUUUGCCGAGCCUUGUGAGUCAGGAACAGGCGCAGUAACGUUUCGCCCCCACCCGUACCCUGGCCCUCCUGGGGACAGAAUGCUCCCCUGGCACAGUUGCACCAGGGCUCUGCGGAGGGGCGGAGCGCUGGACCGGGUCCAGCCAAGGAUCACACGGCCCACUCAGCUGCCACGCUUCCUGGUCUUCUUCGCCUUCACCGCACUGCCCCCUUUCGGCAAUCCCAGCACCUGCUCUGCAGCAGGUCCCCAGCUCUGGACUUGCUGGCCGUCUGCUCUUUAGGAGAUCAGUUAGAAGCCGGCCACACCCUUCCUGGUACACAGUCUUGGAAUUGCUGCCCUCACAGAGCUCCCUGGCCUUCUGGGACUGCGUUUAUUUUUUGUGAUGAGAGCAAAUGCCACAUAUGGCCGGACCUGUGUUUCCCUUUUGUUUUUCUGUAUGUCGACAUCAUGCAGGUGCAUGGGCAGAGGCUGCCUGGGGUGAGAUAGCCCAGCCCUGAGUGGAGUACAGGGAGUGCAGAUUUGGCAUCCAGGGUGUUGUAGACCGGAUGGAGGUGGAUUACAGGCUGCUACUUCUGGCCUCAGCAGAGAAGUGACACUUCUUGGAAGGAAGAGGGAAGAGCUGGUGAUUGAUCCAUGGAAGGCACAGGGUCACCCAUCAGUCCACCUGCUCUGCAGCUACUGGGGGACUUUUUCCUGGAGGACAGUGGAGCAAGCCCCCUUCUGCAUGGCUCCCUGCUACUGCAGAAUAAGAUCUGAAGCUCACCUUGCCAGCCUCUGCCCACCACGAGGCUCCCUGCCCAUGCACGGCGAGCUGACCCAGAGGCAUUUAUAACUCCUUCA